rnacentral:rRNA from 1 species
CUGGGCUGUAAACCUCUUUUCUCAAGGAAGAAGAUCUGACGGUACUUGAGGAAUAAGCCACGGCUAAUUCCGUGCCAGCAGCCGCGGUAAUACGGGAGUGGCAAGCGUUAUCCGGAAUUAUUGGGCGUAAAGCGUCCGCAGGCGGCCUUGAAAGUCUGUUGUUAAAACGUGGAGCUCAACUCCAUUUCGGCAAUGGAAACUACAAGGCUAGAGUGUGGUAGGGGCAGAGGGAAUUCCCGGUGUAGCGGUGAAAUGCGUAGAUAUCGGGAAGAACACCAGUGGCGAAGGCGCUCUGCUGGGCCAUAACUGACGCUCAUGGACGAAAGCCAGGGGAGCGAAAGGGAUUAG